ACACUGACGUCGCGACGCAUAUCAAUAAGCGGAGGAAAAGAAACUAACAAGGAUUCCCCUAGUAACGGCGAGUGGAGCGGGAAGAGCUCAAAUUUGAAAUCUUAAAGGGUUUCCCUUUACGAAUUGUAGUUUAAAGAAGUGUUUUCUGCUGAAGUUUUGGUAAAAGUUCUUUGGAAUAGGACAUCAUAGAGGGUGAGAAUCCCGUAUUUGACCGUUACUUUCCAGCUGUGUGAUACACUUUCAAAGAGUCGGAUUGUUUGGGAAUGCAGUCCAAAAUGGGUGGUAAAUUUCAUCUAAAGCUAAAUAUUGGCGAGAGACCGAUAGCGAACAAGUACCGUGAGGGAAAGAUGAAAAGAACUUUGAAAAGAGAGUUAAACAGUACGUGAAAUUGUCAAAAGGGAAGCGUUUGACACCAGUGUUGUUUAGUUGAAAAUCAAUUCAAUAAUUUUUGAUUUUGAGUAGUAUUGACUUCAUCAGCUUGCUGCUUUCUUUUCGGAAAUUAUUGAAUGCACUUUUCAGUUAACAAGUCAACAUCAAUUUCUUUUGUUGUAAAAGGGUAAGAGGAAGGUGGCUUACGCUUCGGCGUAAGUGUUUAUAGCCUUUUACCUCUGCAAUCGGAGAGAUUGAGGACAGCAGCGUAGACUCCUUCGGGGGUUAGAUACACUUGUGCUAAGUUAUAGCUUUUCAUAGACAACUUGUUGACUAUGUUUAGUCUUGUAGCUUACUCGCUUAUGCUAUUUUACCUACGCUUAGGAUGUUGAUCUACAGAGCGAGAGU
rnacentral:rRNA from 1 species